rnacentral:lncRNA from 1 species
UCCCAUCAGAUCGAACCGAGAUCUCUAGCUUAAGCAAUUGACGAUCCUAUCCACAGUAUUCAGGUGUACAUAAGCUCCUAUCCACACUAUCCAUGUGUGCGUAAGCUCUAGUAAAAUGAGAUCCAUCGUUCUACUUGCACAUUUAGCUUAGCUCCAUAAAAUAAAGAUGAGACGAAGCACAACCUUCCUGAAACCACAAAACAGAAAGUACCAAACAGUAAUAAAGCGAAUUGAUAGCCACAAAAAUGUUUGUUGGAAAUUUCUGCAAACAAGUAGGAAAAGCAGUAAAGGUAUUUAAAAUAGAUUAUAAAAAAACUUGUGAUAUAAAGUUAGAAAAAUAAGGAGGAUGAGGGAGAGAGAGAGAAAGCAAGAUUGAACCAUAUCUGGAACUGACGUGUCUCAGAGCUGAAUUCCUACUUUAAUACAACACCUGUGGAUCAACACAGUCCAAAGCAAAGGUCGAAAGUCGAGAAAUAUCAUAUCUUGCACAUAUAUAUAUCAUAAGGAGAAUCAAAUCUUAAUCGGCAGAACAGAGAGAAGGUUCUUCAUAUGAGACAAAUAGGUUGAACAUCCAGUGGCAGACGAAAGUUUACCGGACACUCUGUUUAGAAUUGUCAUAUAAACACAAUCAUGACGAGGGGAGAACAUACUCGUAUUCAAAGCGCUUUCUUCUACAAGGAAUCUUUUUGAGAAAAAAACAAAUCAGCCGAUUACCGAAACCCUGGCAAGAGAAAACACAAUCCAAACGCAAAACCCAUGUUAAUAAACCACUUGUUAAUGCAUACGAAAACCACACCUAAUACCUCGCCGGAUCAAAAUUACCAAAAUAAAACCAAUUCAGAAUCACAAUCAGACGAACGACCCCGAAUCCAUGACGAUCCAAUUGUCAAACCGGCAAAAUAACCCCAAAUAAAAUCAAAUCAGGACCACAAUCAGACGGUAUCGCGAAAGAGAAGAAAAAACACGCGACGGAUAAUCAUUGAAUUGAAUUGCGCAGGUUUCAUAGCGACGAUGAUACAUAUAAUCUAGAAAAACGGAGACGACAAAUAAACAAAAGCAAUAAUCAAACAAAACUCUAAAAUCCGCAGAUAACCAACAAAGACGAGAGACGAAGGAAUGAGUUACGGUUGUAGGAGGGGACGGGUAUUUAUAGAAGAGUCGGUGUUGAGUGGACGGCUGAGAUUAAUCGGAUCAAAGAUACCAAAUGGUUGGACAACCACCGUCAUUUUUGUCGCAAGUUUCUGCAAAUAGAAUUUGAAAUGUAAAAAAUAAUAGAUUAUGGAGGGAUUCAUAAGAAUAUAAAAUUUGGCAUCACUAUCGUACUCAC